AACGAACGCUGGCGGCAUGCCUAACACAUGCAAGUCGAACGAGACCUUCGGGUCUAGUGGCGCACGGGUGCGUAACGCGUGGGAAUCUGCCCUUGGGUUCGGAAUAACAGUUGGAAACGACUGCUAAUACCGGAUGAUGACGUAAGUCCAAAGAUUUAUCGCCCAGGGAUGAGCCCGCGUAGGAUUAGCUAGUUGGUGGGGUAAAGGCCUACCAAGGCGACGAUCCUUAGCUGGUCUGAGAGGAUGAUCAGCCACACUGGGACUGAGACACGGCCCAGACUCCUACGGGAGGCAGCAGUGGGGGAUAUUGGACAAUGGGCGAAAGCCUGAUCCAGCAAUGCCGCGUGAGUGAUGAAGGCAUUAGGGUUGUAAAGCUCUUUUACCCGGGAUGAUAAUGACAGUACCGGGAGAAUAAGCCCCGGCUAACUCCGUG
rnacentral:rRNA from 1 species